rnacentral:rRNA from 1 species
GGAGGAAAAGAAACUAACAAGGAUUCCCUUAGUAACUGCGAGUGAAGUGGGAAGAGCUCAAAUUUGAAAUCUGGCAGUCUCUGGCUGUCCGAGUUGUAAUCUAGAGAAGUGUUGCCCGCGCUGGACCAUGUACAAGUCUCCUGGGAUGGAGCGUCAUAGAGGGUGAGAAUCCCGUCUUUGACAUGGACUACCAGGGCUUUUGUGGUGCGCUCUCAAAGAGUCGAGUUGUUUGGGAAUGCAGCUCAAAAUGGGUGGUAAAUUCCAUCUAAAGCUAAAUAUUGGCGAGAGACCGAUAGUGAACAAGUACCGUGAGGGAAAGAUGAAAAGAACUUUGGAAAGAGAGUUAAACAGUACGUGAAAUUGCUGAAAGGGAAACGCUUGAAGUCAGUCGCGUUGGCCAGGGAUCAGCCUUGCUUCUUAGUGUGGUGUACUUCCUGGUUGACGGGUCAGCAUCGGUUUUGACUGCUGGAGAAAGGCUUGGGGAAUGUGGCAGCUCUGGCUGUGUUAUAGCCUCCUGUCAGAUACAGUGGUUGGGACUGAGGAACGCAGCAUGCCGCAAGGCCGGGGCUAAUAUCAGCCUACGUUCAUGCUUAGGAUGUUGACAUAAUGGCUUUA